UGGAUUCCCCUGACACAACACGAUCAAACAGUACCCCGCUAACUGAAUUCAACAAUUCAUCGAGUUCAAGGCUUUUGGAAUCUGAUUCACUUUUGAGGCCUCCAG
rnacentral:sRNA from 1 species